rnacentral:rRNA from 1 species
UACGUAGGGUGCGAGCGUUAAUCGGAAUUACUGGGCGUAAAGCGUGCGCAGGCGGUUAUGCAAGGCAGGGGUGAAAUCCCUGGGCUUAACCUAGGAAUUGCAUUUGUGACUGCACGGCUAGAGUGUGUCAGAGGGGGGUAGAAUUCCAUGUGUAGCAGUGAAAUGCGUAGAUAUGUGGAGGAAUACCGAUGGCGAAGGCAGCCCCCUGGGAUAACACUGACGCUCAUGCACGAAAGCGUGGGGAGCAAACAGG